rnacentral:rRNA from 1 species
CCUACGGGAGGCAGCAGUGAGGAAUAUUGGGCAAUGGGCGUAAGCCUGAACGAGCCAAGUCGCGUGAGGGAUGAAGGUUCUAUGGAUCGUAAACCUCGUUUAUAAGGGAAUAAAGUGUGGGACGUGUCCUAUUUUGUAUGUACCUUAUGAAUAAGGAUCGGCUAACUUCGUGCCAGCAGCCGCGGUAAUACGGAGGAUCCGAGCGUUAUCCGGAUUUAUUGGGUUUAAAGGGUGCGUAGGCGGCCUCUUAAGUCAGCGGUGAAAGGCUGUGGCUCAACCCUAGAAUUGCCGUUGAAACUGGGGGACUUGAGUAUGUUUGAGGCAGGCGGAAGGCGGGGUGUAGCGGUGAAAUGCUUAGAUAUCACGCAGAACCCCGAUUGCGAAGGCAGCCCUCCAAGCCAUGACUGACGCUGAUGCACGAAAGCGUGGGGAUCAAACAGGAUUAGAUACCCUGGUAGUC